CCUACGGGCGGCAGCAGUGGGGAAUAUUGGGCAAUGGGCGCAAGCCUGACCCAGCAACGCCGCGUGAAGGAAGAAGGCCUUCGGGUUGUAAACUUCUUUUGUCAGGGACGAAGAAAGUGACGGUACCUGACGAAUAAGCCACGGCUAACUACGUGCCAGCAGCCGCGGUAAUACGUAGGUGGCAAGCGUUAUCCGGAUUUACUGGGUGUAAAGGGCGUGUAGGCGGGAGAGCAAGUCAGACGUGAAAGUCCAGGGCUCAACCCUGGGACUGCGUUUGAAACUGUUCUUCUUGAGUGAUGGAGAGGCAGGCGGAAUUCCGGGUGUAGCGGUGAAAUGCGUAGAUAUACGGAGGAACACCAGUGGCGAAGGCGGCCUGCUGGACAUUAACUGACGCUGAGGCGCGAAAGCGUGGGGAGCAAACAGGAUUAAAUACCCGUGUAGUC
rnacentral:rRNA from 1 species